AAGCGGAGGAAAAGAAACCAACAGGGAUUGCCUCAGUAACGGCGAGUGAAGCGGCAACAGCUCAAAUUUGAAAUCUGGCUUCGGUCCGAGUUGUAAUUUGUAGAGGAUGCUUCGGCUUUCGCACCGGUCUAAGUUCCUUGGAACAGGACGUCACAGAGGGUGAGAAUCCCGUUUGUGGCCGGUGCUUCCGCCAUGUGAAGCUCCUUCGACGAGUCGAGUUGUUUGGGAAUGCAGCUCUAAAUGGGAGGUAAAUUUCUUCUAAAGCUAAAUACCGGCCAGAGACCGAUAGCGCACAAGUAGAGUGAUCGAAAGAUGAAAAGCACUUUGGAAAGAGAGUUAAAAAGUACGUGAAAUUGUUGAAAGGGAAGCGCUUGCGACCAGACUUGCCCGCGGAUGCUCAACCGGUCCUUCGGCCGGUGCACUCUUCCGCGGUCAGGCCAGCAUCAGUUUGGGCGGUCGGAUAAAGGCCUCGGGAAUGUGGCUCUCUUCGGGGAGUGUUAUAGCCCUUGGUGCAAUACGGCCCGCCUGGACUGAGGCCCGCGCUUCGGCUAGGAUGCUGGCGUAAUGGUCGUAAGCGGCCCGUCUUG
rnacentral:rRNA from 1 species